CAGUCGAGCGGACAGAAGGGAGCUUGCUCCCGGAUGUUAGCGGCGGACGGGUGAGUAACACGUGGGUAACCUGCCUGUAAGACUGGGAUAACUCCGGGAAACCGGAGCUAAUACCGGAUAGUUCCUUGAACCGCAUGGUUCAAGGAUGAAAGACGGUUUCGGCUGUCACUUACAGAUGGACCCGCGGCGCAUUAGCUAGUUGGUGGGGUAAUGGCUCACCAAGGCGACGAUGCGUAGCCGACCUGAGAGGGUGAUCGGCCACACUGGGACUGAGACACGGCCCAGACUCCUACGGGAGGCAGCAGUAGGGAAUCUUCCGCAAUGGACGAAAGUCUGACGGAGCAACGCCGCGUGAGUGAUGAAGGUUUUCGGAUCGUAAAGCUCUGUUGUUAGGGAAGAACAAGUGCGAGAGUAACUGCUCGCACCUUGACGGUACCUAACCAGAAAGCCACGGCUAACUACGUGCCAGCAGCCGCGGUAAUACGUAGGUGGCAAGCGUUGUCCGGAAUUAUUGGGCGUAAAGGGCUCGCAGGCGGUUUCUUAAGUCUGAUGUGAAAGCCCCCGGCUCAACCGGGGAGGGUCAUUGGAAACUGGGAAACUUGAGUGCAGAAGAGGAGAGUGGAAUUCCACGUGUAGCGGU
rnacentral:rRNA from 2 species